rnacentral:rRNA from 1 species
GACGAACCGUGCAAACGUUAUUCGGAAUCACUGGGCUUAAAGCGUGCGUAGGCGGCUAAGAAAGUUGGGUGUGAAAUCCCUCGGCUCAACCGAGGAACUGCGCCCGAGACUGCCUUUCUUGAGUCCCGGAGAGGAAGGUGGAAUUCCCGGUGUAGCGGUGAAAUGUGUAGAGAUCGGGAGGAACACCGGUGGCGAAGGCGGCCUCUGGACGGUGACUGACGCUGAGGCGCGAAAGCGUGGGGAGCAAACGGG